AGCGGGAUGGAGAAGUCUGGAAUCUCGUUAGCCUCAUAAGCUAAAGGUCGGUGGUUCAAAUCCACCUCCCGCUU
rnacentral:tRNA from 1 species